GCAUUUACCUGGAGGUUUUGUGUGCCUGCUUGCCACUUAGCCUAGUCAAUAUUAAAUGCUAGAUCAAAUGCUUGAGUUGGACAUUAUUUUCACAUUGAGAUAAACAGUGUGAAGAUAUUAUAUGAUUCACGCAACAA
rnacentral:snoRNA from 1 species